UAGCAUAUCAAUAAGCGGAGGAAAAGAAACUAACAAGGAUUCCCCUAGUAACUGCGAGUGAAGCGGGAAAAGCUCAAAUUUGAAAUCUGGCAGUCUUUGAUUGUCCGAGUUGUAAUCUAGAGAAGUGUUACCCGCGUUGGACCGUGUAUAAGUCUCCUGGAAUGGAGCGUCAUAGAGGGUGAGAAUCCCGUCUUUAACACGGACUCCCAAGGCUUUGUGGUGCGCUCUCAAAGAGUCGAGUUGUUUGGGAAUGCAGCUCAAAAUGGGUGGUAAAUGCCAUCUAAAGCUAAAUACAGGCGAGAGACCGAUAGCGAACAAGUACCGUGAGGGAAAGAUGAAAAGAACUUUGGAAAGAGAGUUAAACAGUACGUGAAAUUGCUGAAAGGGAAACGCUUGAAGUCAGUCGCGUUGGCUGGGAAUCAACCUGGCUUUUGCUUUGGUGUACUUUCCAGUCGACGGGUCAACAUCAAUUUUGACCAGUGGAUAAGGUCUGAGGGAAUGUGGCAUCUUCGGAUGUGUUAUAGCCCUUGGUCACAUACAUUGGUUGGGAUUGAGGAACUCAGCACGCCGCAAUGGCCGGGUCUCGACCACGUUCGUGCUUAGGAUGUUGGCAAAAUGGCUUUAAUCGACCCGUCUUGAAACACGGACCAAGGAGUCUAACAUGCCUGCGAGUGUUUGGGUGGAAAACCCGAGCGCGUAAUGAAAGUGAAAGUUGAGAUCCCUGUCGUGGGGAGCAUCGACGCCCGGACCAGACCUUUUGUGACGGAUCCGCGGUAGAGCAUGUAUGUUGGGACCCGAAAGAUGGUGAACUAUGCCUGAAUAGGGCGAAGCCAGAGGAAACUCUGGUGGAGGCUCGUAGCGAUUCUGACGUGCAAAUCGAUCGUCAAAUUUGGGUAUAGGGGCGAAAGACUAAUCGA
rnacentral:rRNA from 1 species